GCUCCGUUGGUGUAGUCCGGCCAAUCAUUUCGGCCUUUCGAGCCGAUGACCUGGGUUCAAAUCCCAGACGGAGCA
rfam:Halopiger salifodinae strain CGMCC 1.12284 genome assembly, contig: Ga0079850_11